UACGAAGGGGGCUAGCGUUGCUCGGAAUCACUGGGCGUAAAGGGCGCGUAGGCGGAUGUUUAAGUCAGAGGUGAAAGCCCAGGGCUCAACCUUGGAACUGCCUUUGAUACUGGGCAUCUUGAGUAUGGGAGAGGUGAGUGGAACUCCGAGUGUAGAGGUGAAAUUCGUAGAUAUUCGGAAGAACACCAGUGGCGAAGGCGACUCACUGGCCCAUUACUGACGCUGAGGCGCGAAAGCGUGGGGAGCAAACAGG
rnacentral:rRNA from 1 species